AUGAACGCUGGCGGCGUGCCUAAUACAUGCAAGUCGAGCGAACAGAUGAGGAGCUUGCUCCUCUGACGUUAGCGGCGGACGGGUGAGUAACACGUGGAUAACCUACCUAUAAGACUGGGAUAACUUCGGGAAACCGGAGCUAAUACCGGAUAAUAUAUUGAACCGCAUGGUUCAAUAGUGAAAGACGGUUUUGCUGUCACUUAUAGAUGGAUCCGCGCCGCAUUAGCUAGUUGGUAAGGUAACGGCUUACCAAGGCAACGAUGCGUAGCCGACCUGAGAGGGUGAUCGGCCACACUGGAACUGAGACACGGUCCAGACUCCUACGGGAGGCAGCAGUAGGGAAUCUUCCGCAAUGGGCGAAAGCUUGACGGAGCAACGCCGCGUGAGUGAUGAAGGUCUUCGGAUCGUAAAACUCUGUUAUUAGGGAAGAACAAAUGUGUAAGUAACUAUGCACGUCUUGACGGUACCUAAUCAGAAAGCCACGGCUAACUACGU
rnacentral:rRNA from 1 species